ACGCGUUGGGAGCUCUCCCAUAUGGUCGACCUGCAGGCGGCCGCGAAUUCACUAGUGAUUAGAGUUUGAUCAUGGCUCAGAACGAACGCUGGCGGCAUGCCUAACACAUGCAAGUCGAACGAAGGCUUCGGCCUUAGUGGCGCACGGGUGCGUAACGCGUGGGAAUCUGCCCCUUGGUUCGGAAUAACAGUUAGAAAUGACUGCUAAUACCGGAUGACGACGUAAGUCCAAAGAUUUAUCGCCGAGGGAUGAGCCCGCGUAGGAUUAGCUAGUUGGUGUGGUAAAGGCGCACCAAGGCGACGAUCCUUAGCUGGUCUGAGAGGAUGAUCAGCCACACUGGGACUGAGACACGGCCCAGACUCCUACGGGAGGCAGCAGUGGGGAAUAUUGGACAAUGGGCGAAAGCCUGAUCCAGCAAUGCCGCGUGAGUGAUGAAGGCCUUAGGGUUGUAAAGCUCUUUUACCCGGGAUGAUAAUGACAGUAUCGGGAGAAUAAGCUCCGGCUAACUCCGUGCCAGCAGCCGCGGUAAUACGAAUCGAAUUCCCGCGGCCGCCAUGGCGGCCGGGAGCAUGCGACGUCG
rnacentral:rRNA from 1 species